AAAACAUCGCCUCUUGACAAAACAUAAGAGGUCCAGCCUGCCCAGUGACAAAGUUCAACGGCCGCGGUACCCUAACCGUGCGAAGGUAGCAUAAUCACUUGUUCUUUAAAUGAGGACUCGUAUCAACGGCACUACGAGGGCUAUACUGUCUCCUUUUUCUAAUCAGUGAAACUGAUCUCCCCGUGAAGAAGCGGGGAUCAAAAUAUAAGACGAGAAGACCCCAUGGAGCUUUAAACUCACUAUACACCUCUGUGCCUUUAUGCCACUAGACACAAGAGAUCUGCGUACUAGUUUUAGGUUGGGGGGACCACGGAGUAUAAUUUAACCUCCAUAACAAAUGGGCUAACACCCUUAUCUACGAGACACAACUCUAAGAAUUACUAAACUAAUGCUUAUGACCCGAUAUUCGAUCAAUGAACCAAGUUACCCUGGGGAUAACAGCGCAAUCUACUUCAAGAGCCCAUAUCGACAAGUGGGUUUACGACCUCGAUGUUGGAUCAGGGUAUCCCGGUGGUGCAGCCGCUACCGACGGUUCGUUUGUUCAACGAUUAAAACCCUACGUGA
rnacentral:rRNA from 1 species